rnacentral:rRNA from 1 species
GACAGAGGGUGCAAACGUUGUUCGGAAUUACUGGGCGUAAAGCGCGUGUAGGCGGCCCUGCAAGUCGGAUGUGAAAUCCCACGGCUCAACCGUGGAAGUGCAUUCGAAACUGCAGGGCUAGAGUCCUGGAGAGGAAGGUGGAAUGCUUGGUGUAGCGGUGAAAUGCGCAGAUAUCAGGAAGAACACCUGAGGCGAAGGCGGCUUGCUGGGCCUGAUCUGACGCUGAGGCGCGAAAGCGUGGGGAGCGAACAGG